ensembl:lncRNA ZNF781 zinc finger protein 781
CUGCGCCCGGAGACGUGGGAGCGUUCUCUUGUUUUCCGAGUGCGCGGACUCAUCGGGUCACAGUUUAUGCUUUUAUGACGCGGGAACACAACAGAUUUGAGAAGCCUCGGAUUAAGGAAUAAUUUAUGAAGCUCCGUUGACUACCGUGGAGAGAUCAUAAUUUGGGGUUCAAGAUUCCAGUCUGUGUUUUUCCAGAGGUGCCCUGAGGAGCAGGGAAGCAUGGCUAUUGUGGAUGUAAAAGCCAUGUUCAAGCCAGGUAUGGUGGUAUGUGCCUGCAGUCCCAGCUACUCGGGAGGCUGAGAUGGGAGGAUCCACUUGAGCCCAGGAGGUCAAGUCCAGCCUGGACAACUAUCAAGACCCCAUCUCUAAAAAUAAAUAAAUAACAUUUUAAAAAAGAUUGAAA